rnacentral:rRNA from 1 species
UAAGGAAUAUUGGUCAAUGGACGAAAGUCUGAACCAGCCAUCCCGCGUGCAGGAAGAAGGGGCUCUGCCUUGUAAACUGCUUUUGAAUGGGACGAAAGAGCUAUAUGCGUAUAGUGUUGACGGUACCAUUAGAAUAAGCACCGGCUAACUCCGUGCCAGCAGCCGCGGUAAUACGGAGGGUGCAAGCGUUAUCCGGAAUUACUGGGUUUAAAGGGUGCGUAGGCGGUGAUAUAAGUCAGUGGUGAAAGGCCGUAGCUUAACUAUGGGAUUGCCAUUGAUACUGUAUGACUUGAAUCAGGAUGAGGUUGGCGGAAUGUGGCAUGUAGCGGUGAAAUGCUUAGAUAUGCCAUAGAACACCGAUUGCGAAGGCAGCUGACUGGACCUUGAUUGACGCUGAGGCACGAAAGCGUGGGGAGCAAACAGGAUUAGAUACCCAUGUAGUCCCUGAGCGG